rnacentral:misc_RNA from 1 species
CUGGGGAAUGCUUUUUUAGUUAAUAAGUGUGAAUAUAUUAAGAGGACAGGCAGAAAGGCGACACAUGACUACAGG